GGAGAGGUGACCGAGUGGUUUAAGGUGCACGCCUGGAACGCGUGUGUACGAAAGUACCGUGAGUUCGAAUCUCACCCUCUCCGCCA
rnacentral:tRNA from 1 species